UGCAGACAACUGCUCGGUAAUGAUAGGAAGGCUUAAUGGAGUUCAAACCAAAAUCAGAGAAGUUGUACCCAAUGUUAUAGUUAAGGUUGCAUUUGUCACAACUUAAGCCUGUCUUCAAAAGCUGCAUCUAACGCCCUUCCCACCAC